rnacentral:rRNA from 1 species
AAUCAACGCUGGCGGCGUGCCUAACACAUGCAAGUCGAACGCGAAAGCCCCGCAAGGGGUUAGUAGAGUGGCAAACGGGUGAGUAACACGUGGGUGACCUGCCUUCGAGUGGGGGAGUAACGUCCCGAAAGGGACGCUAAUACCGCAUAAUAUCCUGCCUUUUAAGUAGGUGGACAUCAAAGCUGGGGAUCGCAAGACCUAGCGCUUGAAGAGGGGCCCGCGCCUGAUUAGCUAGNGGUGGGGUAAUGGCUCACCAAGGCAACGAUCAGUAUCCGGCCUGAGAGGGCGGACGGACACACUGGGACUGAGACACGGCCCAGACUCCUACGGGAGGCAGCAGUGGGGAAUAUUGGACAAUGGGCGCAAGCCUGAUCCAGCCAUGCCGCGUGAGUGAUGAAGGCCCUAGGGUUGUAAAGCUCUUUUACCCGGGAAGAUAAUGACUGUACCGGGAGAAUAAGCCCGGCUAACUUCGUGCCAGCCGCCGCUGU